rnacentral:tRNA from 1 species
GGGCACCUGGUGUAGUUGGUUAUCACGCUCGCUUAGCAUUACAUUUCGUAAGCUUGCGAGAGGGGAGGAGUUCAAUUCUCCUGGCGUCCA